rnacentral:rRNA from 1 species
GACGGGGGGGGCAAGCGUUCUUCGGAAUGACUGGGCGUAAAGCGCACGCAGGCGGUCUGCUAAGUUUGGUGUGACAGUUGGUGGCUUAACUGCCAAAGUGCUUCGAAAACUGACAGACUUGAGGGCUUCAGAGGGACACGGAAUUCCGGGUGGAGUGGUGAAAUGCGUAGAGAUCCGGAGGAACACCAAAGGCGAAGGCAGUGUCCUGGGGAGUACCUGACGCUCAGGUGCGAAAGCCAGGGGAGCGAACGGG